rnacentral:rRNA from 1 species
GAUGAACGCUGGCGGCGUGCUUAACACAUGCAAGUCGAACGGUGAACACGGAGCUUGCUCUGUGGGAUCAGUGGCGAACGGGUGAGUAACACGUGAGCAACCUGCCCCUGACUCUGGGAUAAGCGCUGGAAACGGCGUCUAAUACUGGAUAUGUGACGUGACCGCAUGGUCUGCGUUUGGAAAGAUUUUUCGGUUGGGGAUGGGCUCGCGGCCUAUCAGCUUGUUGGUGAGGUAAUGGCUCACCAAGGCGUCGACGGGUAGCCGGCCUGAGAGGGUGACCGGCCACACUGGGACUGAGACACGGCCCAGACUCCUACGGGAGGCAGCAGUGGGGAAUAUUGCACAAUGGGCGCAAGCCUGAUGCAGCAACGCCGCGUGAGGGAUGACGGCCUUCGGGUUGUAAACCUCUUUUAGCAGGGAAGAAGCGAAAGUGACGUUACCUGCAGAAAAAGCGCCGGCUAACUACGUG